CAACUAGAUGAUUUACCCGCACUAUGUGCGGAGAGAAAUAGUUAUAUGAAAUAUAUAAACAAUUUUUUGGAAACCGAUUAUAUAUUAUCACUUGAUAUAUAAGUGUGAAUAUUUGAAUAUAUUUAGUAACUCAUAUAUUUUGGAUAUUUUAUUAGUUAGGAAUUAGGAUAUUCCAUAUUUGGAAUAAGAUUUUAAAUUAAAAUAUUGACCAAAGUUUUUUUUUGAAAUAUCA
rnacentral:lncRNA from 1 species